AACGAACGCUGGCGGCAGGCUUAACACAUGCAAGUCGAACGCCCCGCAAGGGGAGUGGCAGACGGGUGAGUAACACGUGGGAACAUGCCCAAAGGUACGGAAUAUUCUCGGGAAACCGGGAGCAAUACCGUAUGUGCCCGAAAGGGGAAAGAUUUAUCGCCUUUGGAUUGGCCCGCGUUGGAUUAGCUAGUUGGUGGGGUAAAAGCCUACCAAGGCGACGAUCCAUAGCGGGUCUGAGAGGACGACCAGCCACACUGGGACUGAGACACGGCCCAGACUCCUACGGGAGGCAGCAGUGGGGAAUCUUGGACAAUGGGCGCAAGCCUGAUCCAGCCAUGCCGCGUGAGUGAUGAAGGCCCUAGGGUUGUAAAACUCUUUCGUGGGGGACGAUAAUGACGGUACCCCAAGAAGAAGCUCCGGCUAACUUCGUGCCAGCCGCCGCUGUAACAC
rnacentral:rRNA from 1 species